rnacentral:rRNA from 1 species
UACGGAGGGGACUAGCGUUGUUCGGAAUUACUGGGCGUAAAGCGCACGUAGGCGGAUAUUUAAGUCAGAGGUGAAAUCCCAGGGCUCAACCUUGGAACUGCCUUUGAUACUGGGUAUCUUGAGUUCGAGAGAGGUGAGUGGAAUUCCGAGUGUAGAGGUGAAAGUCGUAGAUAUUCGGAGGAACACCAGUGGCGAAGGCGGCUCACUGGCUCGAUACUGACGCUGAGGUGCGAAAGCGUGGGGAGCAAACAGG